rnacentral:rRNA from 1 species
GACGGAGGAUGCAAGUGUUAUCCGGAAUCACUGGGCGUAAAGCGUCUGUAGGUGGUUUAAUAAGUCAACUGUUAAAUCUUGAGGCUCAACCUCAAAAUCGCAGUCGAAACUAUUAGGCGUAGAGUAUAGUAGGGGUAAAGGGAAUUUCCAGUGGAGCGGUGAAAUGCGUAGAGAUUGGAAAGAACACCGAUGGCGAAGGCAGCUUUACUGGGCUA